rnacentral:lncRNA from 1 species
AUUCGCGACUCCGUACACGUGCGCGUCCCUACACGUACAUCUCCGUACGUGUACGGGAUAAUAUCGAUUCCAGCAGCCCUACACCUGAAUGCAGGACAGUUACGCGCUUAAUGAGUGCUGAAUAGAUAGGUCGAUCGUCGUUGGACCAUUCUUACUUCUUAUUAGUUGCUGUUCCUGGAUUCGAUUCCUGCACGCAAUCGCGAAUCAUCCUUUGCCAGUUCGCAUGAUAGAGGACGACGGGGGAGAUACUGUGUACACGGGGGCCGGGAGUUGGGUUUAAGGCCAGUGUUGUCAGUCGUAUAUGUACGAGGAUGCGUGUGUUUGCAUCCGGCAGGGGUGGGAUGGGAUGGGCGUGCGCGCGUGCUUUGGUCUUGCAUUAGAUAAUAACACAUAUGCAGGUUCGGGUCCAAAAAAGCAGGCAGGCAGGGAGUUAGGUCUUAUUAUGAGCUAGAGACCAAGCAGACGUACCAAGCUGCUGAGAUGACGGAGACCACAUUGAUUCUGACCUUAUCAGUCACCAAUUAAUCGCUGCUGUGUAUAUGAUAUUAGAUGACUAUCUCCCAUGCUGGCGUACGUAGUCUUUGGAAGCCUGCUGGUGUCUUUAGAGCUCAAUCCUCAGACGGCAUUUCUGCGUGAAGAUCUAGCGGGCCUGAUUAGAGGUUUUGGCAUCCCGGGUAGCAGCUGGGUUUUGCGCUACCCCCGUGCGUGUGGGCAUCAUUGCGCAUAUGUGCGGCACGUAAAUGGCGGAGAUGCAUGAGAGCCAGCGCCUGGGUACUAGCAUGUCCUGACCUUUCGCUGACGGACCUGUUAACUGUCAGCAUGCGAUGGAUGGGCAAAUCCCAGAUUUGGAAUGCUGUGUGUGCUGCUCGUGCUUAGAGUGCUAUCGAGCGAUGGAUGACGUGGACGAAUAGUCACAACACAACGCUUCUGGCUAGCUCGUAAAAGCUGUCGCGAUUGCUGAAAGGAAGAGGUUAGCGGAAAAGGGGACUAAGCAUCGAACCUUUCUGUAAUCUUACAGCUCCCAGGAGCUUACCGGUGCACAAAGCAUUCGUGAUAAGUGCUGAGCAGCUCGGCAACAGGCAACACAAAUUAUUUGCCGGGGAUGAUGUGAUAUAGGCUAGUACAACGAACCCCCGUAGAGAGCCUUAGCCAUCGGAGCUUUGCCUCAUGCAGAGCUUCAAAGAAAGCAAACGCUGGAUUGUAUGCGUUGUAAAAGAAGCCCUAACUAAGAUUUACUUCGGGAAGGAGAAGUUGGAGGCAGGUAGGAGGGCG